GCACGCCGUAUGCGAUGAAAGUCGCCUGUACGGUGUAGGCCCAAACCGAAAGCCCAGAUAGAAAGAUGUGGUAUAAGGUGGGAAUGGCAAU
rnacentral:misc_RNA from 1 species